GUGGGGAAUAUUGCACAAUGGGCGAAAGCCUGAUGCAGCAACGCCGCGUGAAGGAUGAAGGCCUUUGGGUCGUAAACUUCUGUCCUUGGGGAAGAAAAAAAUGACGGUACCCCUGGAGGAAGUCCCGGCUAACUACGUGCCAGCAGCCGCGGUAAUACGUAGGGGGCGAGCGUUAUCCAGAAUUAUUGGGCGUCAAGAGUACGUAGGUGGUUCUUUGAGCGCAGGGGUUAAGGCGAUGGCUCAACUGUCGUUCGCCCUGUGAACUGGAAGACUUGAGUAAAGGAGAUGAAAGCGGAAUUCCUAGUGUAGCGGUGAAAUGCAUAGAUAUUAGGAGGAACACCAGUGGCGAAGGCGGCUUUCUGGACUGUAACUGACACUGAGGUACGGAAGCGUGGGGAGCAAACAGGAUUAGAAACCCGAGUAGUCC
rnacentral:rRNA from 1 species